rnacentral:rRNA from 1 species
ACUCCUACGGGAGGCAGCAGUGGGGAAUAUUGGACAAUGGGCGCAAGCCUGAUCCAGCCAUGCCGCGUGAGUGAUGAAGGCCCUAGGGUUGUAAAGCUCUUUCAGUAGGGAAGAUAAUGACGGUACCUACAGAAGAAGCCCCGGCUAACUUCGUGCCAGCAGCCGCGGUAAUACGAAGGGGCUAGCGUUGUUCGGAAUUACUGGGCGUAAAGCGCACGUAGGCGGAUUGGUCAGUUAGGGGUGAAAUCCCGGAGCUCAACUCCGGAACUGCCUUUAAUACUGCCAGUCUAGAGUCCGAGAGAGGUGAGUGGAAUUCCUAGUGUAGAGGUGGAAUUCGUAGAUAUUAGGAAGAACACCAGUGGCGAAGGCGGCUCACUGGCUCGGUACUGACGCUGAGGUGCGAAAGCGUGGGGAGCGAACAGGAUUAGAUACCCUGGUAGCGAG